rnacentral:rRNA from 1 species
UACGGGAGGCAGCAGUGAGGAAUAUUGGUCAAUGGGUGCAAGCCUGAACCAGCCAUCCCGCGUGAAGGACGACUGCCCUAUGGGUUGUAAACUUCUUUUGUAUAGGGAUAAACCUACCCUCGUGAGGGUAGCUGAAGGUACUAUACGAAUAAGCACCGGCUAACUCCGUGCCAGCAGCCGCGGUAAUACGGAGGGUGCAAGCGUUAUCCGGAUUUAUUGGGUUUAAAGGGUCCGUAGGCGGACUUAUAAGUCAGUGGUGAAAGCCUGUCGCUUAACGAUAGAACUGCCAUUGAUACUGUAAGUCUUGAGUAUAUUUUGAGGUAGCUGGAAUAAGUAGUGUAGCGGUGAAAUGCAUAGAUAUUACUUAGAACACCAAUUGCGAAGGCAGGUUACCAAGAUAUAACUGACGCUGAGGGCGAAAGCGUGGGGAGCGAACAGGGAUUAGAUACC